CAUAAAUAGAAGUCGAGUAGAGAAACAACCAGUGGAAAAAAAAAAAAAAAAUCCCCAGAUCUAAACUGCUUAGCUCUCGUCUUUGUCAGAUCUGAAAACUUCCAAUCAGAAUUGGCUCGUGGGUUGGAGCUGAGUGGAAAACGAUUCCUCUGGGUGGCGAGACCUCCCAGAGCCGAUGGUGCUUCGGGAAGAUUCUUCGAAGCUGGUGUUGAUGGUGCCCUUACGGCGUCGUAUCUACCGGAUGGGUUUUCGGAGAGGACACGAGGGGCAGGGCUGGUGACGGCGAUGUGUACGGCCGACUUUGCCCUAUUUUACUUGGGGUGAUGUUGUUCAAGUUGACACUUGGGUUAGUGCCCCAGGGAAGAAUGGUAUGCGGCGUGAUUGGAUUAUCCAUGAUUGCAAAACAGGACAAAUUUUAACAAGAGCCUCCAUGUGUGGGUGAUGAUGAAUAAACUGACUAGGAGAUUAUCCAAAAUACCCGAUGAGGUUCGGAGUGAAAUAGAGCCUUACUUUAUGAAUUCUGCUCCUGUUGUGGAGGAUGGCAGGAAACUGCAGAAACUUGACGACAAUACUGCGGGCUUUGUCCGUAUUGGUUUAACUCUUAUUCACCUUGUCGACCUCAUCGUUCUCCAAGCUGACCUGCGUCGAGUCCCCGACCUCCUUCUCCAACCUGACGUGCUCCAAGUGCCCGACUUCAUUCUCCGACCUAAGCCGACUAGAGCCGCCUCCGAUCUGACCCCGAGUCCCCGACCUCUCUCUCUGACCCCGUGUUCCCCUGCCUCUCUCUCUGACCCCGAGUCCCCGAUCUCGUUCUCCAGACCUCGAGCUUGAGAUCCGAUCUGACCUCGAGCUUAUUAGCGGACCUGAGCUUGUCAUUCUACAACUUGAGCCAGCUCUAGCUAGUUCUCCAAGGUCUAGUCUCAGGAAGAUCCUAGAUUGAAGGUUUUCAAGAAGGAGUGGUUUGAAGGCAAGGACUGUCUUGACAUUGGCUGCAAUUCUGGGAUCAUCGCUAUACAAAUCGGGAAGCUGAUUAUAAUCUCGAACAAUUGCCCUCCUCUAAGAAAGUCGGAGAUCGAGUACUACGCCAUGCUUGCUAAGGUUGGAGUUCAUCACUACAAUGGAAAAUAGAAAGAAGGAUGCUGACGAUGAUGAUCACCAGCAGUUCACUGUUAGUUCUUUUGCUGCGCUUCUUCUUCUUCUUUCUUUUCAACUGCUAGGCUUCUCUUUAACGGAAUACUACUUCUAAGCUUUCUGAUUUUAAAUUUAUAAGAUCUAUGCACUUGCACUUGAGUUUCUUUAUCAUAGAAUGUCAUUCUCAAUUUAUGCUCCUGGGUGGUGGCCACAAGUUUACCCAUGAAGGUAUCAACUUGAGAGGAGAUAUCAAUGUUUGUAUAGUAGGGGACCCCAGUUGUGCAAAAUCUCAGUUCCUCAAGUAUGCUGCUGGAAUAGUUCCAAGAUCUGUUUACACGUCAGGGAAAUCCUCCUCUGCUGCUGGUUUAACUGCAACUGUGGCCAAAGAACCAGAAACUGGGGAAUUUUGUAUUGAGGUAUCAUUUAAAUACAUUAUGCAUCUUAACCAUGAUAGAUGGCUCCUACAUUUGAUUAUUACUACUGAAAAUUCUAGUGUUUCCUUAUCUUCUUGCUAUAUGGAGUUGAUAUGUUGAGAUCAAGAAAGAGGUCUUCCAUAUGACCUGAAGUGAAUUAUUAAAUUUAUGCAUAAAACCUCCAUAGUUUAUUUCAUUGUCAUGUGAUAUUGUGUUUCAGAUAAGCAUAGUUUGAAAAAGUUAGCUCAUAAACCAAAGUUUUUCUACAUUACAAUCAUCUGACAUUAGUGCUUGUUAUAUAAACUUAACUAGAAAUAAAGGUCUUUUAAAACAAGACCUCUGAGAUGCCCAUUUCCAGGUUGUCAAGUUAUUUCAACACCAAGCAGCAUGGGAUCUUCAUUAUGUGCCAUCCCAUAUGUCAAAACAUAGUGGCGAUGCUUGUUGUCAAACUCAUCAACUCCAUCAUCUUGUUUUCAGGCUAAACUGUUUGCUUUUAGUUAUUGUCACAACUUAGGAAUUGCAAUAUGGUUUUGUUGCAAGUCAAUUGUCAUUAAAAAUGUACCUAAAGAUGCAGUAUAGCCUAUUUAAUUAGUGCAAACAUUUUCAUCUUAGUUUCAUGUAAGUUAUAUAUAUAUGCUUGUGAAUGUAAAUAACACACAUGGUUUUGGGUUCAAACUCCAAUUAGAAGGAAAACAAGGGAAGAUCAGUUAAACAGAACACUUGGUGCUUAGAUGUGCUAAUUUAGAAGUCAGGAUAUGCCUAAGAGGACUGACAUUAUAAUUUAAUGCAUAAAAGUGGAAGCACAAGUUACAGAUAUGCUUGUGUAUACUAGGUUUGUUGAUGCAAUAAUGUUUUGAUCCAUGCACAAUCUGAAGUGCAGGGGGUGUGAUUUAAAAAAAUAAAUAAAUAAAUAAAUAAAUCGAGAUUGACAUUUGAGAAGCAGAUGUUUGACAAGGCAUAAAUGAGGAGAUGCUUUCCAUUUGGUAAUCUCAUAGCACUCUGUUAUAAAAUUGUUGAUAUAUCACAUUUGAUCUUAUUUCAGGCUGGCGCGUUAAUGCUCGCUGACAAUGGCAUUUGUUGCUUUGAUGAAUUUGACAAGAUGGACGUUAGGGAUCAGGUUGCAAUUCAUGAGGCAAUGGAACAGCAGACAAUAAGCAUUACAAAAGCAGGAAUACAGGCAACACUGAAUGC